rnacentral:rRNA from 1 species
GUGUCAGCCGCCGCGGUAAUACAGAGGGUGCGAGCGUUGUCCGGAAUCACUGGGCGUAAAGGGCGCGUAGGUGGCUUGGUAAGCGUGUGGUGAAAGUCCGGGGCUCAACCCCGGAUCUGCCAUGCGAACUGCCGAGCUCGAGCAUUGUAGAGGCAGGUGGAAUUUCGGGUGUAGCGGUGGAAUGCGUAGAUAUCCGAAAGAACACCGGUGGCGAAGGCGGCCUGCUGGGCAAUUGCUGACACUGAGGCGCGACAGCGUGGGGAGCAAACAGGAUUAGAUACCCCAGUAGUCC